CCUACGGGCGGCAGCAGUGGGGAAUAUUGGACAAUGGGGGGAACCCUGAUCCAGCCAUGCCGCGUGUGUGAAGAAGGCCCUCGGGUGGUAAAGCACUUUCAGUGAGGAAGAACGCCUGGUGGUUAAUACCCAUCAGGAAAGACAUCACUCACAGAAGAAGCACCGGCUAACUCCGUGCCAGCAGCCGCGGUAAUACGGAGGGUGCGAGCGUUAAUCGGAAUUACUGGGCGUAAAGCGCGCGUAGGUGGCUUGAUAAGCCGGUUGUGAAAGCCCCGGGCUCAACCUGGGAACGGCAUCCGGAACUGUCAAGCUAGAGUGCAGGAGAGGAAGGUAGAAUUCCCGGUGUAGCGGUGAAAUGCGUAGAGAUCGGGAGGAAUACCAGUGGCGAAGGCGGCCUUCUGGACUGACACUGACACUGAGGUGCGAAAGCGUGGGUAGCAAACAGGAUUAGAUACCCUAGUAGUC
rnacentral:rRNA from 1 species